rnacentral:rRNA from 1 species
CACCGGCGUCCUAAGUGGGAAUCACUUCUUAGGUCUAAAGCGCUCGUAGUUGGCUUUGUAAAUUUCUUGUGAAAUCGUGUCGCUUAACGGCACGGCGUGCAGGAAACACUGCAGAGCUUGGGACUGGGAGGUGUCAGAAGUGUUCCUUAGGGAGCGGUAAAAUGUGAUAAUCUAAGGAGGACUACCUGUGGCGAAGGCGUCUGACAAGAACAGGUUCGACAAUCAGGAGCGAAGGCUAGGGGAGCAAACCGG